rnacentral:rRNA from 1 species
UAGGGAAUCUUCCGCAAUGGGCGAAAGCCUGACGGAGCAACGCCGCGUGAGUGAAGAAGGAUUUCGGUUCGUAAAGCUCUGUUGUUAGGGAAGAAUGAUUGUAUAGUAACUAUAUACAGUAGAGACGGUACCUAACCAGAAAGCCACGGCUAACUACGUGCCAGCAGCCGCGGUAAUACGUAGGUGGCAAGCGUUGUCCGGAAUUAUUGGGCGUAAAGCGCGCGCAGGUGGUUUAAUAAGUCUGAUGUGAAAGCCCACGGCUCAGCCGUGGAGGGUCAUUGGAAACUGUUAAACUUGAGUGCAGGAGAGAGAAGUGGAAUUCCUAGUGUAGCGGUGAAAUGCGUAGAGAUUAGGAGGAACACCAGUGGCGAAGGCGGCUUUUUGGCCUGUAACUGACACUGAGGCGCGAAAGCGUGGGGAGCAAACAGGAUUAGAUACCCUGGUAGUCCACGCCGUAAACGAUGAGUGCUAAGUGUUGGUCUCAUAAGAGAUCAGUGCUGCAGCUAACGCAUUAAGCACUCCGCCUGGGGAGUACGACCGCAAGGUUG